ensembl:lncRNA
AGGCAGCCUCUCCUGCAGCCCAGACUGUCAGACCUGGAUGGAGCUGGAUCAGCCAGGCAGACCCGGCCGGCACACAGUGGUACAUCAUCUCUAUGAAUGUUUAUGUGUCCGUCUCUCAAACCUGUACAUUUCCAAUGCAUAUGAAAAAAUAAUAAACAUUUGUGUGUGUGUGUGUGUGUGUGUGUGUGAUAUUCCUUUUUUCCCCACAGAAGCACAGACCGUGAAGCGUAUCGGCAGGCUGGUGAUGAGGCGAGUCUGUGUGCCAGAGCUGGACCAGAGGUUUUGUGACAUGGCUGAGACCUUCAAUGAACAGCAGGAGCGCUAUGAGUCCAUGGUCCGACACAUCAGAAACCUGCGACAGAUCUGCGGCUGCAACCACAAUGACAGCUUAGCUUUGGCUGAAUGUCUGGGGAGGAUCAGAGAGGAGCAUGAGGCCAAGUACAGGAUCUCCCUCAAGAUUAAGGGCUACGACUUCUCCCUCGAUGUGGUUCCUGUAGGGUUUGGUGGGGGAAGUGAAGAGGAACCGAUGCCUCCACAUCUGCGACUGGCUCAGGAUGAACUGAAGGGCACAUCUGAGAGUGCCAAGGCCACCAUCUCAAAGGGCACCACGCUUCAAGAGAUGAUUGGCUGGCUGCUCCGGAGCAAGGAUCCAAUGGCUGAGCAAGUGAAGGGGGCUGUGGCAACUUACCAGGAGCGAGGAAGACUUAAUGAGAACCUGGAGGAGAACAUGAAGGAAGCGAGGAGGGCGAAGGAGCUGUCUCUGGGAUACCGACAACAGGCCGGGGCCGUCCUCACUGAGGCUGCAGAGAUAGCAGGGGCCUCUCUGUAGCCCGUGAACAUUUUAAAUUCUCUGGCCAUUGCAGCAGCUUGUGUCCUGUUUGCUAGAAGAACAUGAAGACUUGCCGUCAUAUCUGCCUUUUAUAUGUUUUAUACCAUUUAAGAAAUAUAGCAGGGACUCUAACACUUAAAAAUAUAUUGUUUGUGUAAAGACUUAGAAGUAUUUUCCUUGACGGCUGUGCUUUUACAAGCUUACGUUAGGGGGCAGUGCACACUCACUUUACUAUUCUUACAGUUGCUCUUCAAUUCUUAUGGCUCAGAUUUUGUCUGUGUCGCUACAUGAAGAAGUAUUCCCUAAAUCCCCAAAUCAGGUAUUAAAAUGAUAACUGUGUCACUUUUUUAUUUAGAUUGUAUUUUGUAUUUGAUUAGACUCAUUACAUUUUUGCAACAGGCACAGAUUGUAGAAAGUAUGUAAAUAAGGAAGUAUAGAUAGAUAGAUAGAUAGAAUAAAAGUAUUCUGGUUUUACCUGCACUGGACAACACAUUUCAAAAAAGGACAGGAGAGGACACAGUUUCUUAUCGCAGCAUUGUGAGCUGGACUGGAGGUUUGUUGUGAUUGUGGGUGCAGUAUUAUUGUACCAUUCAGAGGAAGCAGAUUUGCUGCUUAUCGUCCACAGAGGCCCACGUUAACUGAUUACUAUCUGCAGCUUUCCAUCUGCUAUUAAUGUGAGAGCAAACAAACACGUGGUCAUAUGCCAUCUUGAUAAUUAAUUUUGGAAAAUCCAUUGUUCCAGGGGUCAUUGUCAAGUGGUCAUGCAUUAUUUAUCCAAGGGAGACAGUUUUAGAGCACUGCUCUUGCCUUAAGCUUAACAGAUUAAUUUGCAAUGAAGUGUGCUGGACACGGAGAGUGAAACCUGGGUGAGUUAUUCAUCUCAAAUGAAAAUAAAUCUGGAAAAUAGAACAAUUAAAAAAAGUCGUGGAAAAUUAUUGUGCAUUUUUGAUACAGGCAACCUUAAUUAUUUAUGUCUUAAUUACGUGUUAAAAUCGUAAAAAAUAUUGUUAUUUAUAAUAUUUAUAAUUAAAAUGUGUAU